rnacentral:lncRNA from 1 species
GGUUACGCAGGGGGAAUUUCAAAGGUGCAUAAACUGUUGGAUAUCAUAUACCAAAUAUCUAAGUGACAAAUUACGAAACAAAUGUUUAUUUAGGUUUAAUAUAUUUUUCUAGCAGAAGUAUUACAUUAACAUUUGGGUUUAAUGAAGUUCUUUUCUGUUCUUUGAAAAAGGUGUUGGUUAAGAAUUUACCACAAUCACAAUUGAUAAAUGAUGCUAUGAAUUUUUUUUAGGUAAUAUUAGUUUUACAGAUUUGUUUG